UAGCUUGCUAUCUGCUGACGAGCGGCGGACGGGUGAGUAAUGCUUGGGAAUAUGCCUUGAGGUGGGGGACAACAGUUGGAAACGACUGCUAAUACCGCAUAAUGUCUACGGACCAAAGGAGGGGAUCUUCGGACCUUUCGCCUUUAGAUUAGCCCAAGUGAGAUUAGCUAGUAGGUAAGGUAAUGGCUUACCUAGGCGACGAUCUCUAGCUGGUUUGAGAGGAUGAUCAGCCACACUGGGACUGAGACACGGCCCAGACUCCUACGGGAGGCAGCAGUGGGGAAUAUUGCACAAUGGGGGAAACCCUGAUGCAGCCAUGCCGCGUGUGUGAAGAAGGCCUUCGGGUUGUAAAGCACUUUCAGUUGUGAGGAAAGGGGUGUACUUAAUAACUGCAUCCUGUGACGUUAGCCACAGAAGAAGCACCGGCUAACUCCGUGCCAGCAGCCGCGGUAAUACGGAGGGUGCGAGCGUUAAUCGGAAUU
rnacentral:rRNA from 1 species